GACGAACGCUGGCGGCGUGCUUAACACAUGCGAGUCGAACGGAAAGGCCCUGCUUUUGUGGGGUGCUCGAGUGGCGAACGGGUGAGUAACACGUGAGUAACCUGCCCUUGACUUUGGGAUAACUUCAGGAAACUGGGGCUAAUACCGGAUAGGAGCUCCUGCUGCAUGGUGGGGGUUGGAAAGUUUCGGCGGUUGGGGAUGGACUCGCGGCUUAUCAGCUUGUUGGUGGGGUAGUGGCUUACCAAGGCUGUGACGGGUAGCCGGCCUGAGAGGGUGACCGGCCACAUUGGGACUGAGAUACGGCCCAGACUCCUACGGGAGGCAGCAGUGGGGAAUAUUGCACAAUGGGCGGAAGCCUGAUGCAGCAACGCCGCGUGCGGGAUGACGGCCUUCGGGUUGUAAACCGCUUUCGCCUGUGACGAAGCGUGAGUGACGGUAAUGGGUAAAGAAGCACCGGCUAACUACGUG
rnacentral:rRNA from 1 species